rnacentral:rRNA from 1 species
GACGAACGCUGGCGGCGUGCUUAACACAUGCAAGUCGAGCGGUAAGGCCCUUUCGGGGGUACACGAGCGGCGAACGGGUGAGUAACACGUGGGUGACCUGCCCUCAGCUCUGGGAUAAGCCUGGGAAACUGGGUCUAAUACUGGAUAUGACUCCACGGUGCAUGUCGGUGGGGUGGAAAGCCUUGUGCGGCUGAGGAUGGGCCCGCGGCCUAUCAGCUUGUUGGUGGGGUGANGGCCUACCAAGGCGACGACGGGUAGCCGGCCUGAGAGGGCGACCGGCCACACUGGGACUGAGACACGGCCCAGACUCCUACGGGAGGCAGCAGUGGGGAAUCUUGCGCAAUGGGCGAAAGCCUGACGCAGCGACGCCGCGUGAGGGAUGACGGCCU